rnacentral:rRNA from 1 species
AUUGAACGCUGGCGGCAUGCCUUACACAUGCAAGUCGAACGGUAACGCGGGGCAACCUGGCGACGAGUGGCGAACGGGUGAGUAAUGCAUCGGAACGUGCCCAGUAGUGGGGGAUAGCCCGGCGAAAGCCGGAUUAAUACCGCAUACGACCUACGGGUGAAAGCGGGGGACCGCAAGGCCUCGCGCUAUUGGAGCGGCCGAUGUCAGAUUAGGUUGUUGGUGGAGUAAAGGCCUACCAAGCCGACGAUCUGUGGCUGGUCUGAGAGGACGACCAGCCCCACUGGGACUGAGACACGGCCCAGACUCCUACGGAGGGCAGCAGUGGGGAAUUUUGGACAAUGGGCGCAAUCCUGAUCCAGCCAUGCCGCGGGCGGUAAGAAGGCCUUCGGGUUGUAAACCGCUUUUGUCAGGGAAGAAACGCUCUGGGCUAAUACCCCGGGGUAAUGACGGUACCUGAAGAAUAAGCACCGGCUAACUACGUGCCAGCCGCCGCCGUAA